GAUGAAGAACGUAGUGAAAUGCGAUAAGUAGUGUGAAUUGCAGAAUUCAGUGAAUCAUCGAAUCUUUGAACGCACAUUGCGCCCUUUGGUAUUCCUUAGGGCAUGCCUGUUCGAGCGUCAUUUAAACCUUCAAGCUAAGCUUGGUGUUGAGUGACUGUCCGCUUCACUGCGGACUCGCCUCAAAAUUAUUGGCGGCCGGUACAUUGGCUUCGAGCGCAGCAGAAACGCGAACUCGGGCCCGUCGUAUUGGCUCCCAGAAGCUAUCUUCACAAUUUUGACCUCGGAUCAGGUAGGGAUACCCGCUGAACUUAAGCAUAUCAAUAAGCGGAGGA
rnacentral:misc_RNA from 1 species